GUGGGGAUAUUGCACAAUGGGGGAAACCCUGAUGCAGCCAUGCCGCGUGUGUGAAGAAGGCCUUCGGGUUGUAAAGCACUUUCAGUAGGGAGGAAAGGUAAUAGUUUAAUAAACUAUUACUGUGACGUUACCUACAGAAGAAGGACCGGCUAACUCCGUGCCAGCAGCCGCGGUAAUACGGAGGGUCCGAGCGUUAAUCGGAAUUACUGGGCGUAAAGCGUGCGCAGGCGGUUUGUUAAGCCAGAUGUGAAAUCCCCGGGCUCAACCUGGGAAUUGCAUUUGGAACUGGCGAACUAGAGUCUUGUAGAGGGGGGUAGAAUUCCAGGUGUAGCGGUGAAAUGCGUAGAUAUCUGGAGGAAUACCGGUGGCGAAGGCGGCCCCCUGGACAAAGACUGACGCUCAUGCACGAAAGCGUGGGGAGCAAACAGGAUUAGAUACCCUGGUAGUCCACGCCGUAAACGAUGUCUACUCGGAGUUUGGUGACUUAGUCACUGGGCUCCCAAGCUAACGCAUUAAGUAGACCGCCUGGGGAGUACGGCCGCAAGGUUAAAACUCAAAUGAAUUGACGGGGCCGGCC
rnacentral:rRNA from 1 species